rnacentral:snRNA from 1 species
AGCUUUGCGCAGUGGCAGUUAUCGUAGAAGGUGAGGUGUAUCCAAGCAUGAUUAUUGCUAAUUGAAAACUUUUCCCAAUACCCCGCCAUGACAACUUGAAAUAUAGUCAGCAUUGGCAAUUUUUGACAGUCUCUACGGACA